GUCUACGGCCGUACCACCCUGAACGUGCCCGAUCUCGGAAGCUAAGCAGGGUCAGGACUGGUUAGUACUUGAAUGGAAGAUAUUGGUUC
rnacentral:rRNA from 1 species